rnacentral:rRNA from 1 species
UACGAAGGGGGCUAGCGUUGUUCGGAAUUACUGGGCGUAAAGCGUGCGCAGGCGGUUAUUUAAGUCAGGUGUGAAAGCCCUGGGCUUAACCUAGGAAUUGCGCUUGAGACUGGAUAGCUUGGAGUGCGGCAGAGGGAGGUGGAAUUCCACGUGUAGCAGUGAAAUGCGUAGAGAUGUGGAGGAACACCGAUGGCGAAGGCGGCAUCCUGGACCGACAUUGACGCUGAACGGCGAAAGCUAGGGGAGCAAACGGG